rnacentral:rRNA from 1 species
UACGAAGGGGGCUAGCGUUGCUCGGAAUCACUGGGCGUAAAGCGCACGUAGGCGGCUUUCUAAGUCAGGGGUGAAAUCCCGGAGCUCAACUCCGGAACUGCCUUUGAUACUGGAAAGCUUGAGUUCGGGAGAGGUGAGUGGAACUGCGAGUGUAGAGGUGAAAUUCGUAGAUAUCCGCAAGAACACCAGUGGCGAAGGCGGCUCACUGGCCCGAUACUGACGCUGAGGUGCGAAAGCGUGGGGAGCAAACGGG